rnacentral:ncRNA from 1 species
ACGGGACCACCCGCUGAGUUUAAGCAUAUAAAUAAGCGGAGGAGAAGAAACUUACAAGGAUUCCCCUAGUAACGGCGAGCGAACCGGGAACAGCCCAGCUUGAGAAUCGAGUAUCACUACUCGAAUUGUAGUCUGGAGAGGCGUCCUCAGAGACGGACCGGACCCAAGUUCCCUGGAAAGGGACGCCUGGGAGGGUGAGAGCCCCGUCCGGCCCGGACCCUGUCUCACCACGAGGCGCCGUCAACGAGUCGGGUUGUUUGGGAAUGCAGCCCAAAUCGGGCGGUAAACUCCGUCCAAGGCUAAAUACAGGCGAGAGACCGAUAGCGAACAAGUACCGCGAGGGAAAGAUGAAAAGGACUUUGAAAAGAGAGUCAAAGAGUGCUUGAAAUUGCCGGGAGGGAAGCGGAUGGGGGCCGGCGAUGCUACCC